rnacentral:rRNA from 1 species
UGGAUCUCUUAGUGGCGAACGGGUGAGUAACGCGUGGGAAUCUACCUUGAAGUGGGGAAUAACUAUUGGAAACGAUAGCUAAUACCGCAUAAUCCCUUAGGGGCAAAGGCUUCGGCCGCUUUUAGAUGAGCCCGCGUUAGAUUAGGCUGUUGGUGAGGUAAUGGCUCACCAAACCUGUAAUCUAUAGCUGGUCUGAGAGGACGAUCAGCCACACUGGGACUGAGACACGGCCCAGACUCCUACGGGAGGCAGCAGUGGGGAAUAUUGGACAAUGGGGGAAACCCUGAUCCAGCAAUGCCGCGUGAGUGAUGAAGGCCUUAGGGUUGUAAAACUCUUUCAGAAGUGAAGAUGAUGACGGUAACUUCAGAAGAAGCUCCGGCUAACUCCGUGCCAGCAGCCGCGGUAAUACGGAGGGAGCUAGCGUUGUUCGGAAUUACUGGGCGUAAAGAGCGUGUAGGCUGUUAGGUAAGUCAGAGGUGAAAUCCCUAAGCUCAACUUAGGAACUGCCUUUGAUACUAUCUUACUAGAGAUCGAGAAAAGUUAGCGGAAUUCCAAGUGUAGAGGUGAAAUUCGUAGAUAUUUGGAGGAACACCAGUGGCGAAAGCGGCUAACUGGCUCGUAUCUGACGCUGAGACGCGAA